GGCUUAGAGUUUGAUCAUGGCUCAGGAUGAACGCUAGCUACAGGCUUAACACAUGCAAGUCGAGGGGCAGCGGGUUGUAGCAAUACGACUGCCGGCGACCGGCGCACGGGUGAGUAACACGUAUCCAACCUUCCGGUUACUCGGGAAUAGCCUUUCGAAAGAAAGAUUAAUGCCCGAUGGCAUAGGGUUUCCGCAUGGAGACCCUAUUAAAGAUUUAUCGGUAACCGAUGGGGAUGCGUUCCAUUAGGCAGUUGGCGGGGUAACGGCCCACCAAACCGACGAUGGAUAGGGGUUCUGAGAGGAAGGUCCCCCACAUUGGAACUGAGACACGGUCCAAACUCCUACGGGAGGCAGCAGUGAGGAAUAUUGGUCAAUGGGCGAGAGCCUGAACCAGCCAAGUAGCGUGAAGGAUGACUGCCCUAUGGGUUGUAAACUUCUUUUAUACGGGAAUAACACGCGGCACGUGUGCCGUUCUGCAUGUACCGUAUGAAUAAGCAUCGGCUAACUCCGUGCCAGCAGCCGCGGUAAUACGGAGGAUGCGAGCGUUAUCCGGAUUUAUUGGGUUUAAAGGGAGCGUAGACGGGUCCUUAAGUCAGUUGUGAAAGUUUGCGGCUCAACCGUAAAAUUGCAGUUGAUACUGGGGACCUUGAGUGCGGCAGAGGCAGGCGGAAUUUCGUGGUGUAGCGGUGAAAUGCUUAGAUAUCACGAAGAACUCCGAUUGCGAAGGCAGCUUGCUGGACCGUAACUGACGUUGAUGCUCGAAAGUGCGGGUAUCAAACAGGAUUAGAUACCCUGGUAGUCCGCACAGUAAACGAUGGACACUCGCUGUUGGCGAUAUACGGUCAGCGGCUUAGCGAAAGCGUUAAGUGUCCC
rnacentral:rRNA from 1 species